rnacentral:rRNA from 1 species
UACGUAGGGACCAAGCGUUGUUCGGAUUUACUGGGCGUAAAGGGCGCGUAGGCGGCGCGGUAAGUCACUUGUGAAAUCUCUGAGCUUAACUCAGAACGGCCAAGUGAUACUGCAGUGCUAGAGUGUGGAAGGGGCAAUCGGAAUUCUUGGUGUAGCGGUGAAAUGCGUAGAUAUCAAAGAGGAACACCUGAGGUGAAGACGGGUUGCUGGGCCAAACACUGA